rnacentral:rRNA from 1 species
AUACGUAGGUGCCAAGCGUUAUCCGGAUUUACUGGGCGUAAAGGGCGUGUAGGCGGUCUUGCAAGUCAGAAGUGAAAUUCCUGAGCUCAACUCGGGCGCUGCUUCUGAAACUACAGGACUUGAGUGCUGGAGGGGAUAGCGGAAUUCCUAGUGGAGCGGUAAAAUGCGCAGAUAUUAGGAAGAACACCGGUGGCGAAGGCGGAUAGCUGGACAGGAACUGACGGUGGGGCGCGAAAGCGUGGGGGGCAAACAGGAUUAGAUACCCGGGUAGGCCACGCCGUAAACGAUGAAUACUAGGUGUAGGGGGUAUCGACUCCCUCUGUGCCGCAGUUAACACAAUAAGUAUUCCGCCUGGGGAGUACGGCCGCAAGGUUGAAACUCAAAUGAAUUGGCGGGG